rnacentral:rRNA from 1 species
UACGGGGGGGGCAAGCGUUGUUCGGAAUUACUGGGCGUAAAGGGCUCGUAGGUGGCCAACUAAGUCAGACGUGAAAUCCCUCGGCUUAACCGGGGAACUGCGUCUGAUACUGGAUGGCUUGAGUUUGGGAGAGGGAUGCGGAAUUCCAGGUGUAGCGGUGGAAUGCGUAGAGAUCCGGAGGAACACCAGCGGCGAAGGCGGCAUCCUGGACUGGUCCUGACACUCAGGAGCGAAAGCGUGGGGAGCGAUCCGG